rnacentral:rRNA from 1 species
UACGAAGGGGGCAAGCGUUGUUCGGAAUUACUGGGCGUAAAGGGCGCGUAGGCGGCUUAUCAAGUCAGGCGUGAAAUUCCCGGGCUCAACCUGGGGGCUGCGCUUGAUACUGAUGAGCUUGAAUGCGGGAGAGGAUAGUGGAAUUCCCAGUGUAGAGGUGAAAUUCGUAGAUAUUGGGAAGAACACCGGUGGCGAAGGCGGCUAUCUGGCCCGUAAUUGACGCUGAGGCGCGAAAGCGUGGGGGGCAAACAGG